ACUAGAGGCUUGACAUGUCCGGAAUUCUGCAGAGAUGCGGAAGUGCCCUUCGGGGAAUCGGAACACAGGUGCUGCAUGGCUGUCGUCAGCUCGUGUCGUGAGAUGUUGGGUUAAGUCCCGCAACGAGCGCAACCCUUGUCCUUAGUUGCCAGCGGUUCGGCCGGGCACUCUAGGGAGACUGCCGGUGACAAACCGGAGGAAGGUGGGGAUGACGUCAAGUCCUCAUGGCCUUUAUGUCCAGGGCUACACACGUGCUACAAUGGCGCGUACAGAGGGAAGCCAAGCCGCGAGGUGGAGCAGACCCCAGAAAGCGCGUCGUAGUUCGGAUUGCAGUCUGCAACUCGGCUGCAUGAAGUCGGAAUCGCUGGGAAGCGCGGAUCACCAUGCCGCGGUGAAUACGUUCCCGGGCCUUGUACACACCGCCCGUCACACCAUGGGAGUGGAUUGUACCAGAAGCAGCUAGCCUAACCUUCGGGAGGGCGGUUACCACGGUAUGGUUCAUGACUGGGGUG
rnacentral:rRNA from 1 species